rnacentral:lncRNA from 1 species
UUUCUAUGCUCUUUUUUUUUUUUCCAAAUGCAGAUACGAAAGCUGGGAACAGGUUCUAGAAAAAGAUUCCAUAUUGCUUUGGAUGUCACAUUCAUGCCUUUGGGAAAUAGUGUAAGUGCGCUCCUUUGUAAACCAUGCAAUAAGGAAGCUACAAAAUGUCUGAUCUACCUGAACUCAGCAAUAUGACUGCACAUGAUGCUGGACAGUGUGGCCUGGAGGGCACGUGCAACAACAGAAGGCAAAUGAUUUUAUGGAGCUAAGUGGCAGCAUUCCAGGUACGUUUUGGACUUCUCUGUCACUUUUUACACUAAUUGGAGGACACAACAAACCUUCAUGCUGGAGCUCAUCCUUGAAGGCCUUCUACAUUGUUUUGAGGUGGAGUCAUCCAAAAUAGGAAAGAAACAGUACCACAGGGCUGAUGUGAGCAACCGCACAGCGCAAUGGCAAACUCCUGUACUCACAGUGAGGAAGCUGGGGACCCUGAAGAUCUCCCUCAUGUACCUGCUUUGCUCCCACUCCAGUCUCCGGUCCUGUGUAUGUAAC